AAAAUAUAUAGGACGUUCAGAGAUUGGGCCGCCUGUGUUCUGCUCAGACUGAUUCUGCGUUUUGUCCAACCUCGUACCCAGGCUCUUUCCACUACGCGCCCCCUGGGUACGAGGUUGUCUCUUGUCCGCCGUAUUUACAUAUGCGUACUAUUUUGUAUCCAAAUUGCGGGCAAAAUGUUGGGCCGUAUAUGCAGGAACAGUAACACACGAUUAUAUAUUCGAUUCGCGAUCCGUAUAUAAUUAUGAUUAAUAAUAUAUGUGCAUUUAAGAAUACAAUAUAUUAUUGAAAAAAUGCUAUGAAACUGCUAUAUGCGUGAGAUUUACUAAACGUGGCGUGAGAGUGAAGCGAAUUGCGUGAGACUCACGCCGAAUGCGUGAGAGUUGAG